UACAGAGGGUGCGAGCGUUAAUCGGAAUUACUGGGCGUAAAGCGUGCGUAGACGGUAGCGUAAGUCAGAUGUGAAAGCCCCGGGCUCAACCUGGGAAUUGCAUUUGAGACUGCUCUGCUCGGGUGCGGAAGAGGGAGGCGGAAUUUCCGGUGUAGCGGUGAAAUGCGUAGAUAUCGGAAGGAACACCAGUGGCGCAAGCGGCUGACUGGCCGAGACCUGACGCUGAGACGCGACGGCGUGGGGAGCAAACCGG
rnacentral:rRNA from 1 species